CAGCAGCCGCGAGAAUACAGAGGGUGCGAGCGUUAAUCGGAUUUACUGGGCGUAAAGCGUGCGUAGGCGGCUUUUUAAGUCGGAUGUGAAAUCCCUGAGCUUAACUUAGGAAUUGCAUUCGAUACUGGGAAGCUAGAGUAUGGGAGAGGAUGGUAGAAUUCCAGGUGUAGCGGUGAAAUGCGUAGAGAUCUGGAGGAAUACCGAUGGCGAAGGCAGCCAUCUGGCCUAAUACUGACGCUGAGGUACGAAAGCAUGGGGAGCAAACAGGAUUAGAUACCCGAGUAGUCCCUGUCUCUUAUAC
rnacentral:rRNA from 1 species